rnacentral:rRNA from 1 species
GACUCUUCGAAAUGGAUAUCUCGGCUCUCGCAUCGAUGAAGAACGUAGCAAAAUGCGAUACUUGGUGUGAAUUGCAGAAUCCCGUGAACCAUCGAGUCUUUGAACGCAAGUUGCGCCCCAAGCCUUCAGGCCGAGGGCACGUCUGCCUGGGUGUCA